rnacentral:rRNA from 1 species
AUGGCCUCCUCCCCGCCCCCCUCCUCCUCCCGCACCCCCGCCGCCGCGCGCCGGGGCGGCCGCGCGGCGCGCCAGUCGCCCUUCUUCCGGGACCUCGCCUCCCCCAUCCCGUCCCACCGCGGCGGCGGCUCCCGCUUCGCCUCCCCCGCGGCCGCCGCCCCGCCCUCCGCCACGCCGCCGCCGCCGCCCCUCUUCACGCUCGACGACCGCUUCGCCGCCGCCGACUUCUCGCCCGACCCCACCGCCUCCGACCUGCUCCCCGUCGCCUCCUCCCCCUCCCCCCGCGCCGGGGCGGGCGCCGGCAGCCGCUCGCCCUCAUGGGACCGCUCCCGCGGCAAGGCCUCCGCCCCCGGAUCCCCCAUGGACGGGGUCGUCGAGCCGCCCCGCAAGGAGCUGCUCGCGCUGCCCCCGCCGUCCAGCCCCUGCACUCCUCCUCCCCCGACGGCCACGGCCGCGGCCGGCGAGGCGCCGUCGCCCGUGACCCCGGCGACGGAGGCUGCUAGGACGGAGCCGGCGGCUCCGGCGAGCGAAGGGAAGGCAGAUGGCGAGGAGUGGGUCACUGUAUUCGGAUUCUCGCUUAGAGAUACCAACCUCGUUCUCCGAGAGUUCGAGAAAUGUGGUGUUAUAUUGAGACAUCACUCUGGCCCAAGAGAGGGUAAUUGGAUCCACAUAUUAUACCAGCACUCUUACGAUGCAAGGAAAGCCCUUCAAAAGAAUGGUAUCCAGCUAUGCAGUGGCGUCAUAAUUGGAGUAAAGCAUAUUGAUCCAGUGCACCGGCAGCAGCUGGAUGAUAGGCUCGCUGGAAUUAAUCAAGGAGGCUUCAUGGUCUCACUGCCUUCGAAAUCACUUGUCCUGAAGAGCAGCACAGGUGCAUCAAACCAGUUGGGAGCCUUGCCGCGCCCGUAUGAUCCGAAGUCUUCCACAAACGUUAUCAGAGACGCAGGGCGUCGUACAACAGGCAGCGUUGCCGCGCCAGCGAAAUCUAUUGUAACGAAUGUGAUGGACUUGAUAUUCGGCAUCUAG